ACCCUCGCCGCCGGACUCCCACGUGCUCCUCCCAGGCACCAUGGCGUUGGGGACGCACAACCCAGGCACCGCAGACCAUGUGUGAAGGCUGGAUGCGAGACCUCAUGCACUCACUUGAGGGCGAGCUCAGCCGAUGCCUAGACGCCAAGGCUUUAAAAAUUCGUUGAUGUGUGGAUUAUAAAUGUAUGGGGUUUCUAUUGCCAUGCCUGCCACUCUGGUGCAGCUCCGGCACACGCUGGAUGGCCUUGUCCCUAAAGGUGAUUUGGUAAUACGUUGCAUGCUGUUCUGUUUGGUUAGCUCUGACCACGUUGAUUGGUUUUCUGUAAUUAGUCAAGUAGUAUAUUGUCAUCCCUUGUGCAUAUUGAAAAUACAACUGAUUGGUUAGCUGCACAGAUUAACUGAUUCAAUGUUUUUUUUUGUUAACAUUGAUGUGUCAUCUGAGGUCCUAUAUCUAUCUGAUGAGUGCUAAAAUGGUGUGGACGUGUGGCUUUUGGAUUUUUUACUGCUCAAGAAUUCAGUCUGACGAUAUUUGGUGGACACAUGCUCUUUAGGUGGAUUGACCCCUACCGUGGCUGAGGUGUACAGCAUAGUGAAUUUUCUGGAGCUCUGCUUGAAUUUGAACACUCAGUUUGCGUCCCAGAUUUCUCUGAACUCCAGUAUAUCAAAAAAAAAAUUAUUUUGUUCUUCUCUUUGGUUGGCAAUUAUAAGAUUUAAAUAGCUCGUAAGCACAUGAGGAUGCUCAAUGUAAACUGGUAUACUUAUCUCUCUCUUGUUGUUAGGUUGAAUUGGUAAAAGCAUUUUGUUCUUUGUAUGGUUAGUAAUAUGGCUGAACACUAAGAGCUGAGCUAAUUUGUAGAGACAGCGUGGAUGUUUUAUUUUCCAUAUAUCCCAUUACUCAUGAUGGUGGAAAUAAAAGUUUACCUACUUAGUUGCCAAAUCUCACUGGAAUUGCUUUUGGAUGUAGUGACAGUGAUAUCUGAACUCAUAUUUUGAGUGAUAUUUUUCAGUGCGAACCUAACUAAUUUAAAUUUUCUCAUUGUCCGUGAUGUAUGUGACGGUGAUCCUUGCAUCUUCUUUGCCAUGAAAUCAUGUUUAUUUACUCUAGCGGUGAGUCCAUGUUUGGAAGAAAUUAAUAAUUUCAGUACAUGUUGGAGCUUUUGGGUCGUUCCAGUGUGAAAUAGUUGUAGUUUUGCACCAUCUAUCCAAUUGGGCUUAUGCAGAUAGCUUAAAUUCAUGGAUAUGAGCAUAUGUAUAUAUCUUGUGAGAGACUUAAGAGAAACCAAAUAUGAUCACCAAUUUAGGAACCAAAUAUACGGGAGAGUCUCAGAUUCUAAGAAGGGUUCUAGAGUUUCAUAUUGCUGUGUCCUGGCUCCACUUGCCCCCAUGCCAAAACCAUCGGUGUGGCAUGGGGGCAUCGACCUCUCAGAAGGCAGGUUCUAUGGCCAUUGGUAGAGCUAAGGCGGACGAAGUGGUGUUCUGGCUGGUGAGUUAUCAUCAUCUCGUUUCAUUGUUCGGUACUCAUCAAAUCUGAGACUAUGGAAUAUGUAUGACACGGAUUACCGAUAUUCAUUGUUGAAGGGUUGCUGAUGCUUGGGAUGGGGUAAAUCUUAAGCUUACUCUCUGCAGAACUGUGUCUCAGUGAGUGUUCCAUAUAUGGUUAGACUUGGUCUCUUUGUUGACACAUAGUGGGUACUAAGAUGGUUGCGUGUCAGGGAGAUGUUAACAAGAAUCGAGAUGUUGAUUGGAAGCUGGAAGGUGCUUUGGUUGGACAAACAUUCCAGUUUGCUGGAUCCUGGAGGAGUACCUGAUGAAGCUGAACCCCUUGAAAGGGGAACUUCUUUGAAUUGGAUGGACAUGAAUGAACUGAUCCUGGGGUGUAUGUCUACUGAAUCUACAUCAUCUGUCCCCCUUCGAAGAAAUGGCGUCGGGAGCUGGCCCGUGAAGCUUUAUUGGGAUGAUUGGCAAUACCUUGUGACUCUGUAGGCUUAUUCCUGUAGCUACCUGAAAGUGUUGUUCCCUCUCGCCUGUUUCCAUUUUCUGUUUUCGGCUUUGUUACUGUAACCUGAUGAUGUGACUGCUUUGCAUAUAAUGGAACCGGGGGGGCCCCUUUAUCUAAAAAAAAAAGAGAUGCUAAAGAGGAGGAUC